AUCGCUUCUCGGCCUUUUGGCUAAGAUCAAGUGUAGUAUCUGUUCUUAUCAGUUUAAUAAAUUUCAAUCUUCCAAGUAGAGAUAGGUAGGCAGGGCAAUUUGGUGUCUUGUUCUGCUUUUAUCUGAAUCCAGCUCUUCACUCCAU
rnacentral:snRNA from 1 species